rnacentral:rRNA from 2 species
GAUGAGAAGCUUGCUUCUCUGAUGUUAGCGGCGGACGGGUGAGUAACACGUGGGUAACCUACCUAUAAGACUGGGAUAACUCCGGGAAACCGGGGCUAAUACCGGAUAAUAUUUUGAACCGCAUGGUUCAAUAGUGAAAGACGGUUUCGGCUGUCACUUAUAGAUGGACCCGCGCCGUAUUAGCUAGUUGGUAAGGUAACGGCUUACCAAGGCGACGAUACGUAGCCGACCUGAGAGGGUGAUCGGCCACACUGGAACUGAGACACGGUCCAGACUCCUACGGGAGGCAGCAGUAGGGAAUCUUCCGCAAUGGGCGAAAGCCUGACGGAGCAACGCCGCGUGAGUGAUGAAGGUCUUCGGAUCGUAAAACUCUGUUGUUAGGGAAGAACAAAUUUGUUAGUAACUGAACAAGUCUUGACGGUACCUAACCAGAAAGCCACGGCUAACUACGUGCCAGCAGCCGCGGUAAUACGUAGGUGGCAAGCGUUAUCCGGAAUUAUUGGGCGUAAAGCGCGCGUAGGCGGUUUCUUAAGUCUGAUGUGAAAGCCCACGGCUCAACCGUGGAGGGUCAUUGGAAACUGGGAAACUUGAGUGCAGAAGAGGAGAGUGGAAUUCCAUGUGUAGCGGUGAAAUGCGCAGAGAUAUGGAGGAACACCAGUGGCGAAGGCGGCUCUCUGGUCUGUAACUGACGCUGAUGUGCGAAAGCGUGGGGAUCAAACAGGAUUAGAUACCCUGGUAGUCCACGCCGUAAACGAUGAGUGCUAAGUGUUAGGGGGUUUCCGCCCCUUAGUGCUGCAGCUAACGCAUUAAGCACUCCGCCUGGGGAGUACGACCGCAAGGUUGAAACUCAAAGGAAUUGACGGGGACCCGCACAAGCGGUGGAGCAUGUGGUUUAAUUCGAAGCAACGCGAAGAACCUUACCAAAUCUUGACAUCCUUUGACCGCUCUAGAGAUAGAGUCUUCCCCUUCGGGGGACAAAGUGACAGGUGGUGCAUGGUUGUCGUCAGCUCGUGUCGUGAGAUGUUGGGUUAAGUCCCGCAACGAGCGCAACCCUUAAGCUUAGUUGCCAUCAUUAAGUUGGGCACUCUAGGUUGACUGCCGGUGACAAACCGGAGGAAGGUGGGGAUGACGUCAAAUCAUCAUGCCCCUUAUGAUUUGGGCUACACACGUGCUACAAUGGAUAAUACAAAGGGCAGCGAAUCCGCGAGGCCAAGCAAAUCCCAUAAAAUUAUUCUCAGUUCGGAUUGUAGUCUGCAACUCGACUACAUGAAGCUGGAAUCGCUAGUAAUCGUAGAUCAGCAUGCUACGGUGAAUACGUUCCCGGGUCUUGUACACACCGCCCGUCACACCACGAGAGUUUGUAACACCCGAAGCCGGUGGAGUAA